GAACGCACAUUGCGCCCGCCGGUAUCCCGGCGGGCAUGCCUGUUCGAGCGUCAUUACAACCCUCAGGCCACGCCUGGCGUUGGGGUCCUGCGCUGCAGGCCCCGAAAGACAGCGGUGGGUGCGUCCCACGACCGAACGCAGUAGUUACUUCUCGUUCCGGGCGCGGGCGCAUGCCGGCCGGUAAACCCCCCAUUUUACAAGGUUGACCUCGGAUCAGGUAGGAAUACCCGCUGAACUUAAG
rnacentral:misc_RNA from 1 species